rnacentral:rRNA from 1 species
GUCUUUUUGUAUUUUUAUAAAAAGUCUAAUCUGCCCCCUGAUAAUUAUUAAAUGGCCGCAGUAUAUUAACUGUGCAAAGGUAGCAUAAUCAUUAGUUUUUUAAUUGAAGACUUGUAUGAACGAUUGGACGAAACAUAUACUGUUUCAUAAAAAUUUAUAGAAUUUUAUUUUUUAGUUAAAAAGCUAAAAUUUGAUUGAAAGACGAGAAGACCCUAUAGAUCUUUACAUUUGUUUUAUUAUUAAUAUUCAGGAUUUUGUAAUUUAAUAAUAUAUUUAAUGUUUUGUUGGGGUGACAUUGAAAUUUAAUAAACUUUUAAUAUUGUAUUACAUUUAUUUAUGGUUUUAAAUGAUCCUUUAUUAUAGAUUAAAAAUUUAAGUUACCUUAGGGAUAACAGCGUAAUUAUUUUGGAGAGUUCUUAUCGAUAAAAUAGUUUGCGACCUCGAUGUUGGAUUAAGAUUAAUUCUGGGUGUAGUUGUUCAGUUGAAUUAAGUCUGUUCGACUUUUAAUAUCUU